UCCAGAAGAUUUAGAGAAGAGCAGCCGUGUGUGUACGAGCAGCGUCUCCAGGCAUCAGACCUGUCAGCUGCUGUCCUGCCAAGCUUCACGUGCGUCCUGUCCCCGCGCCUCAGCAGAGAGCCACGUGGAUGUUUCCUUGCUGCCUGCGGCCCACGGAGGCCUUGACUGCUAGCCACUUCAGGUCUCAGAGCGGUGAUGACACAGAUGACCUUUCCAGCAUUGAGAAACUGACUGAGACACUGAUGGACAAAGAUGUUCUCCGUUUCACCUCCAAAACCGAUUGUGGGUGAUCAUCUUCCAAAAGCAAGAGGUUAUGGAGUGGAUUCCAUCUGCAGAGGAGGAGGAGAAAAAGGCAGUGGACUCUCUCACUUCAAAUGCGAUUAGAGAGAUGUGUAAAAUGUGGGAAACAGUGCAAAAUUUUAUAGAAAAACACCACUGAAUAAAGCUGUAGC
rnacentral:lncRNA from 1 species